AAUACGUGCUCUGUUAAGAAAGUUCAUCGAUUUUAAGAUUGCUGGACAUCAAAUCACCAACGAGCUUGUGUAGAGUAAACCUUCAAAAUACAACCAUGUGUAUAUUGGGUUAUUGCGUUUCCUUUUGCUUACAUUUCCAUAAUUUUGAUUUAAAACGAUUUAUAGAUAAUGGAACUGUUCUUCGGCGUAUGCCAACGUGUGAAUACGCACCACAUUCGUCAUUAUAUUAAGCAUAGCCAUAGCUACAAAUGCAAUUUAUAUCUUGCUUAUCCCGUUCCCUUAUUGGUUAAUAGAAUUAGGGAAGCGAUAUCGAAAUUAAAUGGAAUCAUAUUUAAAUAAGGAGUAACAACAUCUUGACCAUGGUGGCGACCAAUAAGAUAUAAGGUCCCUGUGUUUUAAGCUUGGCAGCAACAAAACUGUGUAACGUUUCAGUGAUUAUAUGUGAGCACCAUGUCUUUUGAACGUUUCAUGGAAUCCAGCGCGGAUGUAGAAAAUAAAGAACUUUAGUGUAAGGAAUGUAUGAUAAGAUCGAGAAAUGCAAAUUAAAGAAAAUUAUGUCCAAUAUUCUGUGAAUACAUCUUUGACUAUGCAUAUUAUAAUUAGUUAGUAAAAUGAACGUAAAUAAAAAUUUGCCUGUAAACAUUAAAAAA